rnacentral:rRNA from 1 species
UACAGAGGGGGCGAGCGUUGUUCGGAAUUACUGGGCGUAAAGGGCGCGUAGGCGGCCCGCUAAGUCGAACGUGAAAUCCCCAGGCUCAACCCUGGGAACUGCGUCCGAUACUGGCAGGCUUGAAUCCGGGAGAGGGAUGUGGAAUUCCAGGUGUAGCGGUGAAAUGCGUAGAUAUCUGGAAGAACACCCGUGGCUAAGGCGGCUCUCUGAGACCGUGUACGUGACGCUGAGACGCGAAAAGCGUGGG